rnacentral:rRNA from 1 species
AUUGAACGCUGGCGGCAUGCCUUACACAUGCAAGUCGAACGCGAAAGAGGGGCAACCCUUGAGUAGAGUGGCGAACGGGUGAGUAACGCGUGGAUAAUCUGCCCCUCAGUUGGGAAUAACUCAUCGAAAGGUGAGCUAAUACCGAAUAAUACUGUGAGACCCCGGUCGAUCAGUCAAAGAAAGCCUCUGCUUGCAAGCUUUUGCUGACGGAUGAGUCCGCGUACCAUUAGCUAGUUGGUAGGGUAAUGGCCUACCAAGGCGACGAUGGUUAGCUGGUCUGAGAGGAUGAUCAGCCACACUGGAACUGAGACACGGUCCAGACUCCUACGGGAGGCAGCAGUGAGGAAUCUUGCGCAAUGGGGGAAACCCUGACGCAGCAACGCCGCGUGAGUGAGGAAGGUCUUCGGAUCGUAAAGCUCUGUCAGAUGGGAAGAAAUGCACGGGGGUCAACAGCCCUCCUGCUUGACGGUACCAUCAGAGGAAGCACCGGCUAACUCCGUGCCAGCAGCCGCAGUAACAC